GGGGAUGUAAAGGUUUCGACAGGGAUUUUGAAGUAUCGGAAGCGAGCAGCGGUGCGGAACCGCUAUAAAAUCCGUAAACAAAAUUAACUAACAACGGUUCGGCAAGGGUGUCAUUUUAGCGGUGAACAUGAACGAGAGCCUGCUCCCGCUUUCGUCACGACUUAGGAGCUACCAAGCGCACAAGCCUGACAUUUGGCGUGUGCGUAAGGGAAUGUAAACAAGUGUCUGCGCUCGGAGACGCCGAUAUGAAUAAAUUUUUGGACAGGAGUUCGACUCUCCUCAUCUCCACCA
rnacentral:tmRNA from 1 species